GAUGAACGCUGGCGGCGUGCCUAAUACAUGCAAGUCGAGCGAACGGACGAGAAGCUUGCUUUUCUGAUGUUAGCGGCGGACGGGUGAGUAACACGUGGAUAACCUACCUAUAAGACUGGGAUAACUUCGGGAAACCGGAUCUAAUACCGGAUAAUAUUUUGAACCGCAUGGUUCAAAAGUGAAAGACGGUCUUGCUGUCACUUAUAGAUGGAUCCUCGCUGCAUUAGCUAGUUGGUAAGGUAACGGCUUACCAAGGCAACGAUGCAUAGCCGACCUGAGAGGGUGAUCGGCCACACUGGAACUGAGACACGGUCCAGACUCCUACGGGAGGCAGCAGUAGGGAAUCUUCCGCAAUGGGCGAAAGCCUGACGGAGCAACGCCGCGUGAGUGAUGAAGGUCUUCGGAUCGUAAAGCUCUGUUAUUAGGGAAGAACAGAUGUGUGAGUAACUGUGCACGUCUUGACGGUACCUAAUCAGAAAGCCACGGCUAACUACGUG
rnacentral:rRNA from 1 species